CCUACGGGGGGCAGCAGUGGGGAAUAUUGGACAAUGGGGGCAACCCUGAUCCAGCCAUGCCGCGUGUGUGAAGAAGGCCCUCGGGUUGUAAAGCACUUUCAGUGAGGAAGAACGCCUGGUGGUUAAUACCCAUCAGGAAAGACAUCACUCACAGAAGAAGCACCUGCUAACUCCGUGCCAGCAGCCGCGGUAAUACGGAGGGUGCGAGCGUUAAUCGGAAUUACUGGGCGUAAAGCGCGCGUAGGUGGCUUGAUAAGCCGGUUGUGAAAGCCCCGGGCUCAACCUGGGAACGGCAUCCGGAACUGUCAAGCUAGAGUGCAGGAGAGGAAGGUAGAAUUCCCGGUGUAGCGGUGAAAUGCGUAGAGAUCGGGAGGAAUACCAGUGGCGAAGGCGGCCUUCUGGACUGACACUGACACUGAGGUGCGAAAGCGUGGGUAGCAAACAGGAUUAGAUACCCGGGUAGUC
rnacentral:rRNA from 1 species